CUCUAUUCAUUGUAAGCUCGACUCUCUCUCUCUCUAUCUAUGAUCGCCCCUCUAUUUCAAUCAAACUACUGUGUGCAUUCUAGAGAGAGAAAGUGAUGGGUAAGCAGCCGGUGAGAAUGAAGGCGGUGGUUUACACCUUGUGUCCAUUCCGAUAGAAGGUGAUGCUAGGCCUCUAGAAGGAUCUGCCUUGUAAGAUCCACCACAAGAUCUUCGAAAAUUGGGUCAGUGCUACCCUUCUCUUUGGCCCUCUCGUCGGAACUCCUAUGCGCAAUGGUAUCAGGAAAAGGAGACGAUGGAGCAAAGAUACUGAAAAUUUCAUGUUUUAUCUUCUUACUGGCCAUGAUUUUGCCUGCAGAGCUGCAGUUGUUAAACUCUGGAAUUUAAAAUGCUCAUUUGCAUGUAUCUACUUCUAUGACCUUCAACUUUUGUUAAAUCACUUGAUGUUUGAAAUCUGUGGUGUUAUACAAAAAUUUUCUGAAUACUUAUUUUUUAUUUUUCAUGAAUAAAGAAACAGAUUUUGUUAAAAAAAAAAAAAUGCGAUGUUGAUGGGUUACCUUGGUGAUAGGUGUUAUUAGAGGUUUGUGAAGUUUUUUUUUGGUGGUGCAGGCAGAGGUGCUACCUAUCGCAGUGGAUCUGGCAAUGGUGGUCGUCGGUGGUUUGGCUGUCGUGGUCACAAGUGUUGGUCAUAGAUUAUUUGGUUAACCAUGACCAU
rnacentral:lncRNA from 1 species